GGACUGGAGGGUAGUCUGGCAGCAACAUCUGUCACUCCAUUGAUCAUCAGGAUUGACUUGUCUGACCUGGUUGACGUCCCCUUCCUCUGUUAGCACUCCAUAUGUGUCCCCCUUCUAACUGUGUACUUGGACAAAGAGGAUGACCUCUGCUGCUUGACAAGGACUAUUUGGUCAAAGAUACACUCUGCUAGAGCCUCCGAACAGCCUCUCGAGAGAAAAGAGGAGUUCAGAGAAGGAAAAUGCUCAGACUGUCACAGCUGGAGUGGUCAGGCGUCUACUUUC
ensembl:misc_RNA 7SK 7SK RNA